GAAAAUAUAGCUCAGUGGUACAGUGUAGAGUGUACGUAGCACACAUCAGGUCCUGGGUUCAAUUCCCAGUACUUCCA
rnacentral:tRNA from 1 species